rnacentral:tRNA from 1 species
ACUCCUUUGGUGUAGUGGCUAACAUGACGGAUUCCAACCCCGUUGCCGAGAGUUCGAAUCUUUCAGGGAGUGC